UUGGUAAGGUAACGGCUUACCAAGGCGACGAUGUUUAGGGGACCUGAGAGGGUUGUCCCCCACACUGGUACUGAGACACGGACCAGACUCCUACGGGAGGCAGCAGUGAGGAAUAUUGGUCAGUGGGCGCAAGCCUGAACCAGCCAUCCCGCGUGAAGGAAGAAUGCGCUACGCGUUGUAAACUUCUUUUCCAGGGGGAGAAUAAUCCUGUCGUGACAGGACUUGACGGUACUCUGGGAAUAAGCAUCGGCUAACUCCGUGCCAGCAGCCGCGGUAAUACGGAGGAUGCGAGCGUUAUCCGGAUUUAUUGGGUUUAAAGGGUGCGUAGGCGGAUUGAUAAGUCAGUGGUGUAAUUCUACAGCUUAACUGUAGACUUGCCGUUGAUACUGUUAGUCUUGAGUGUGGUCAAGGCAGGCGGAAUGUGUAAUGUAGCGGUGAAAUGCUUAGAUAUUACACAGAACACCGAUUGCGAAGGCAGCUUGCUGGGUCAUUACUGACGCUGAUGCACGAAAGCGUGGGGAUCAAACAGGAUUAGAUACCCUGGUAGUCCACGCCGUAAACUAUGAUCACUCGCUGUUGGCGAUACACAGUCAGCGGCUAAGCAAAAGC
rnacentral:rRNA from 1 species